rnacentral:rRNA from 1 species
UGGGGAAUUUUGGACAAUGGGGGAAACCCUGAUCCAGCCAUCCCGCGUGUGCGAUGAAGGCCUUCGGGUUGUAAAGCACUUUUGGCAGGAAAGAAACGUCAUGGGUUAAUACCCCGUGAAACUGACGGUACCUGCAGAAUAAGCACCGGCUAACUACGUGCCAGCAGCCGCGGUAAUACGUAGGGUGCAAGCGUUAAUCGGAAUUACUGGGCGUAAAGCGUGCGCAGGCGGUUCGGAAAGAAAGAUGUGAAAUCCCAGAGCUCAACUUUGGAACUGCAUUGUUAACUACCUGGAUAGAGUGUGUCAGAGGGAGGUGGAAUUCCGCGUGUAGCAGUGAAAUGCGUAGAUAUGCGGAGGAACACCGAUGGCGAAGGCAGCCUCCUGUGAUAACAAUGAAGCUAAUGCACGAAAGCGUGGGGAGCAAACAGG